GACGUAGGGCGCGAGCGUUGUCCGGAUUUAUUGGGCGUAAAGAGCUCGUAGGCGGCUUGUCGCGUCGGAUGUGAAAGCCCGGGGCUUAACCCCGGGUCUGCAUUCGAUACGGGCAGGCUAGAGUUCGGUAGGGGAGAUCGGAAUUCCUGGUGUAGCGGUGAAAUGCGCAGAUAUCAGGAGGAACACCGGUGGCGAAGGCGGAUCUCUGGGCCGAUACUGACGCUGAGGAGCGAAAGCGUGGGGAGCGAACAGG
rnacentral:rRNA from 1 species